rnacentral:rRNA from 1 species
AUGAACGCUAGCUACAGGCUUAACACAUGCAAGUCGAGGGGCAUCAGGAAGAAAGCUUGCUUUCUUUGCUGGCGACCGGCGCACGGGUGAGUAACACGUAUCCAACCUGCCCUUUACUCGGGGAUAGCCUUUCGAAAGAAAGAUUAAUACCCGAUGGCAUAAUGAUUCCGCAUGGUUUCAUUAUUAAAGGAUUCCGGUAAAGGGUGGGGAUGCGUUCCAUUAGGUUGUUGGUGAGGUAACGGCUCACCAAGCCUUCGAUGGAUAGGGGUUCUGAGAGGAAGGUCCCCCACAUUGGAACUGAGACACGGUCCAAACUCCUACGGGAGGCAGCAGUGAGGAAUAUUGGUCAAUGGGCGCUAGCCUGAACCAGCCAAGUAGCGUGAAGGAUGAAGGCUCUAUGGGUCGUAAACUUCUUUUAUAUAAGAAUAAAGUGCAGUAUGUAUACUGUUUUGUAUGUAUUAUAUGAAUAAGGAUCGGCUAACUCCGUGCCAGCAGCCGCGGUAAUACGGAGGAUCCGAGCGUUAUCCGGAUUUAUUGGGUUUAAAGGGAGCGUAGGUGGACUGGUAAGUCAGUUGUGAAAGUUUGCGGCUCAACCGUAAAAUUGCAGUUGAUACUGUCAGUCUUGAGUACAGUAGAGGUGGGCGGAAUUCGUGGUGUAGCGGUGAAAUGCUUAGAUAUCACGAAGAACUCCGAUUGCGAAGGCAGCUCACUGGACUGCAACUGACACUGAUGCUCGAAAGUGUGGGUAUCAAACAGGAUUAGAUACCCUGGUAGUCCACACAGUAAACGAUGAAUACUCGCUGUUUGCGAUAUACAGUAAGCGGCCAAGCGAAAGCAUUAAGUAUUCCACCUGGGGAGUACGCCGGCAACGGUGAAACUCAAAGGAAUUGACGGGGGCCCGCACAAGCGGAGGAACAUGUGGUUUAAUUCGAUGAUACGCGAGGAACCUUACCCGGGCUUAAAUUGCAGUGGAAUGAUGUGGAAACAUGUCAGUGAGCAAUCACCGCUGUGAAGGUGCUGCAUGGUUGUCGUCAGCUCGUGCCGUGAGGUGUCGGCUUAAGUGCCAUAACGAGCGCAACCCUUAUCUUUAGUUACUAACAGGUCAUGCUGAGGACUCUAGAGAGACUGCCGUCGUAAGAUGUGAGGAAGGUGGGGAUGACGUCAAAUCAGCACGGCCCUUACGUCCGGGGCUACACACGUGUUACAAUGGGGGGUACAGAAGGCAGCUAGCGGGUGACCGUAUGCUAAUCCCAAAAUCCUCUCUCAGUUCGGAUCGAAGUCUGCAACCCGACUUCGUGAAGCUGGAUUCGCUAGUAAUCGCGCAUCAGCCACGGCGCGGUGAAUACGUUCCCGGGCCUUGUACACACCGCCCGUCAAGCCAUGGGAGCCGGGGGUACCUGAAGUACGUAACCGCAAGGAUCGUCCUAGGGUAAAACUGGUGACUGGGGCU